GCUGUAGCUCAGUGGCAGAACACCUGCUUGGCAUGCAGAAGGUCCCAGGUUCACUCCCCUGUGGCAUCUCCA